rnacentral:rRNA from 1 species
GAUGAACGCUGGCGGCGUGCCUAAUACAUGCAAGUCGAGCGAACAGAUGAGGAGCUUGCUCCUCUGACGUUAGCGGCGGACGGGUGAGUAACACGUGGAUAACCUACCUAUAAGACUGGGAUAACUUCGGGAAACCGGAGCUAAUACCGGAUAAUAUAUUGAACCGCAUGGUUCAAUAGUGAAAGACGGUUUUGCUGUCACUUAUAGAUGAUCCGCGCCGCAUUAGCUAGUUGGUAAGGUAACGGCUUACCAAGGCGACGAUGCGUAGCCGACCUGAGAGGGUGAUCGGCCACACUGGAACUGAGACACGGUCCAGACUCCUACGGGAGGCAGCAGUAGGGAAUCUUCCGCAAUGGGCGAAAGCCUGACGGAGCAACGCCGCGUGAGUGAUGAAGGUCUUCGGAUCGUAAAACUCUGUUAUUAGGGAAGAACAAAUGUGUAAGUAACUAUGCACGUCUUGACGGUACCUAAUCAGAAAGCCACGGCUAACUACGUG